ACCAGUACUGAUCUGGUAUAAUGGGACGGUCCCAUCAAUCUUGAUAUACAUACAUAUGUAUAUCUUCCAUCACUUUUGGAUUCUGGUUCAGUGGCGGAUUCAGAGUAGAAUUUUGGGGGGGAACUAUAUAAUUUUGUAUUUGCAACUCAAUAUCUUUUUCUUCGCGGAGUGUAACUUAUGAUGGAAAUAAUGUAUAACUUUUAUUUUUGGAGGAGGAACUCUACGUAGUUCUCCCCUCCCCGUGGAUCCGCGCCUGUUCUGAUGGAACCGCUUUCUCCAUAAUUUCUUAAAUUAUCCGAAAAAUUAUACAGUUAAUUCCGUAUAUAGUCUAUUUUCGUUUAUGUUCGGUAAAGAGCUUGAGGGUGUGGAUCACGUGAUGAGCGAAAAAGGGGGCGCAGAACGCUAAUCAAAACAAGUUAAUUUUUUUCUGAAUAAUAAUUAAUCAAACUAUCAUGAAAACCAGACGCUUUAAAAAUUUUCAUGAACUAAUUCAUAAUUUCGACUAUAACCGCGUGGGCGGCGACUGCGCCAAUAAAGAAGAAUUCGUAAUCUGGACACUUGAAACCAUAACAAUUUGCUAAGAUCGCCAGCGCAUCAAAUAAAAUAUAUUUUAUACAGAGUUGUGUUAUUAUUCAAGGCAGCGCUACAAUCUUCGAACAAAUGGUUCAGAGCGGACCACUAAAGCACAUAGUUUUAGCAUAUAUGUAUGUACAUAUAUAUUCUUUUUAUAGCUAUUAAGGCUUUGUGAAAUGCAGUAGUGAGGGGUAUCAUAGCUUCGAUGGAGCAGAAAUUAGCGUUUUGGCUUGCUUUUGUACAUUCUCUUAUGCGAUAUAUAUUUUUAAGGAUCAGUACACAUCAGCUUUCCGCCUUUACAUAUAUUGUAUAUUAUUUCUCUUAAAUAGGAUUUUUUAAAUACCUUAUAGUUUUUUCUCCUCAUAAAUAUGUAAGGGACAAGACUGCAACACAUCAGUUCUAAUUACAGACAUACAUAUGUACAUACUAAUAUAUGUAUGCGAAGCUAAUCAGUUGCAGUGCUUUCAAUUCAAAUGAGCGCAUUAAUACAACAAUGAAUCCAAUGGCCGCAUCUGAAAGUAAUGAAAAUUGCAACGUUUUGAUUGGAGAUUUAAUCGUACUUUUGCAAUAGGUCAUGCCACUUGAUAUUGCCCCCACAGCACUCGAACCAACUCCAGCCGCUGUAGGUAGCUACGGCAUUCCAUAAAGUAUUUGACCGAGCGAGCGUCCACUUGGCAGCAUGGCUGUGCGUUGCUGUGGCACGGGCGGUGGAUUCGAUUCGGUCGUCGUGAUUGCGAUGUGCUUUUUUUUGCAGCAACAUUAAAGCCAAUGUGUAUGUAACGAGUGAGUACCUACUACAACUACUAGUACUUACCUUCAUGCAAGCCCGUUUAUCGAGGGUGGAGUCCAAGCACCGUUGAUUGGCCUGCCAACUCUGUUGCAAUGUUGUGCCAUUGGUAGAUAAUUUUAUAGGCAUUUUGAGCCUAUAAACGAAAACCGGAAAUAAACGAGCGAACAAAUGAAUUAAUAUUCGUUCUCAAGUACGAAUGUUGUUGGCGCGCUUACAACUACAAAGGAGGCAAUUGAAUCGAAUAUAUGUAUAGUAGUAUCUCAUCGACCUGGAGAAAAGCUGUGAUUACCCUGGUUGAACAUUUUUAAGGCUUUAGCUUCCACCCUCCAGCAGUCAACAGCCAUCAGCUGUUUCCAAGCGGCCAUUCUACAAAUGUUUACAAAUCCAUGAGAUACUCAUUACGCCACAAAUACACACACACACAAAACAAAGCAGCUACACGAUUUCCUGGUCGCCCGCUUUUCCAUACACAAAUCGAAAUUGCUGCAUCGCGACAGCGCAACAUAGCGACAAUAACAACAAAAAUUAAAGAGAAUAAACAUCAGCAAGCAAAGCAGCAGUCGCAAGCAGCAGUCGCAAGCAACGCCACACAACACGCUCCAUAUCCAGGUUGGCGCAGAGUUGCCAUUAGCGGAACAUUCAUAUCUAAAUAGUCUCGUGAAAUACUUGCCUGUGUGCAGAGGAAGUUUUAUAAUGCUAGACGACAAUAAUUUAUUUAAUUAACAAUAAUUUAUUUAAUUAACAAUAAUUUAUUUAAUUAACAAUAACUUCGACAAUAAUUUACUUAAUUAACUAUAAUUUUUUUUAAUUAACAAUGGUUUAAUUAACAAAAAAUUAGCUAACAAUAAUUUAAUUUAAUUAAUUAACAAUGGUUUAUUUAAUUAAUCAUGAUUUAUUUAAGGAACAAUUUAUUUAAUUAACCAU